UACAGAGGGCUCAAGCGUUGCUCGGAUUCAUUGGGCGUAAAGGGUGCGUAGGCGGCGCGGUAAGUCGGGGGUGAAAUCUCGGAGCUUAACUCCGAAACUGCAUUCGAUACUGCCGUGCUUGAGGACUGGAGAGGAGACUGGAAUUUACGGUGUAGCGGUGAAAUGCGUAGAUAUCGUAAGGAAGACCAGUGGCGAAGGCGGGUCUCUGGACAGUUCCUGACGCUGAGGCACGAAGGUCAGGGGAGCAAACGGG
rnacentral:rRNA from 1 species